GAUGAGCAUGCGUCCCAUUAGCUAGUUGGUAAGGUAACGGCUUACCAAGGCUACGAUGGGUAGGGGUCCUGAGAGGGAGAUCCCCCACACUGGUACUGAGACACGGACCAGACUCCUACGGGAGGCAGCAGUGAGGAAUAUUGGACAAUGGGCGCAAGCCUGAUCCAGCCAUGCCGCGUGCAGGAUGACGGUCCUAUGGAUUGUAAACUGCUUUUAUACGAGAAGAAACACUCCAACGUGUUGGAGCUUGACGGUAUCGUAAGAAUAAGGAUCGGCUAACUCCGUGCCAGCAGCCGCGGUAAUACGGAGGAUCCAAGCGUUAUCCGGAAUCAUUGGGUUUAAAGGGUCCGUAGGCGGUUUAAUAAGUCAGUGGUGAAAGCCCAUCGCUCAACGGUGGAACGGCCAUUGAUACUGUUAAACUUGAAUUAUUAGGAAGUAACUAGAAUAUGUAGUGUAGCGGUGAAAUGCUUAGAGAUUACAUGGAAUACCAAUUGCGAAGGCAGGUUACUACUA
rnacentral:rRNA from 1 species